GUCUUAGGAGCAUGAAUCGGCACGCCCAGGCUUGCUAAGAUGACCCAAAUGCAAAUGAGAGCCUGACCAAAACAUUUUUAAACUCUGUAUACGGAGUUAUUUUGAAAUCAGGACCAGAGCUAACUCUGCAGGAAGGAGGAAAAAACUUGAAAAAGAGCAUGUCCACAAAACAUCUCGUGACCUACAGAAGAGAAAACAGACCAUCAAGCUAGAAGGAGAAAAGACUGAUUGAGGGGAAGAUCAGAGUGGAUGAGAGGAAGUAGAAGAUAAAAACUGCACUCAGAGAGACGGAGGGAAUUGUUAGAAAGAGGUAGAGAUAUUCCAUCUUUCUUAAUGAUAAAUUGGUCUUUGAUAAAUUCUUAGAAUGACUGCAGUUCCAUUUUUUUCUAUACUGUCAACCUCUCUCAUUGUACUGCCCAGAUGAUCUUUCUGAAGUGUAUACCUGAUAAUGUCAUUUCAAGGCUAAAAAAAAUCUAGUCUCCUUAUCAUCCAUAAGUAAAAUUCAAAUUCCUAUCAAUACAUAAGGUCUCUCUCUACCUCUCUAGACUCCUUUCCUGCCAUAGGUCCCUGUACUCCAAAAAUGAAUUAUAAUUAGAAACCCAUAGUCCUUUCAUGACUCUGCAUUUACACAGGUUGGUCCCUCUGCUCAGAAUGCUCUUUCCCCUCUUGUUCACCUGGUCCUCCUACACAUCCUUCAUGAUUCAGCUUAUGUAUCUGGUCCUCUAUGAAGCUUUGCCUGACCCCUCUCUCCACUCCCUCCACCUCAACAAACAGUACUGACCCACAGAAGAGAUGCCACUCAUAUUAUCAUGAUGUUUUAAAAUUUCAUUUAUGUCUCAGGCCAUAAUUCUUGGAGUCACAUUUGAAUCCUCUUUCCUCACAAUCCAAGUCCAAUCCUUUAACAAAUUCUGUGGGUUCCAUCUUCAAAAUAUGUCGAGAACCUGACCUCUUCUCAUUACCUUCACUGCUAUCACACUAGUCCAAGCCAUAUCAUCUCUCACCUGGUUUACUGUGAUAGCUUUCUCACUGGUCUCCCAGAUUCUGCUCUUAACCCUAAUCAGUCCAUUCUCACCCCAGCAUCCAUAGUGAUUUAGUUAACACAAAACAAAACAAAAGAUCAUGUUGUCACUCCUCUGCUCAAAACCCUCUGAUGGCUCCCAUCUCACUCCAGGCAAAACUAAAGUCCUUCUGACAGCCUACAAGGCCCUGCCUGGCCUGUUCCUCCUCACCUCUCUGACUUUCUUUCCUAUUACUUUCCUUUUCUUGCUCCCUCUGCUCCAGUCUCAGAGUCUUUCCAUGUGCUAUCCUGUCUACCUGGAAUGCUGUUCUCCCAAAUAUCCACGCAGCUUAUUCUCUCAUUCCCUGUACAUCUUAACUGAAUUAUUACCUUCUACCCCUGUACAAGAUUGUGAUCUCUAAAUACUAUUUUCUACUAAAAUGAGCCAAGGCUUUUUGGAAAAAUGGCUGAUUUCAAGUCUGAGGCAAGAACUGUAUAAGAUGAGCCUGGAAUAUUUUGUCAUAGCAGAAAGCAAGGAUACUGUUUAAAACUACUAGGUUGUGUCAAAAGGAAGGAGGAGCCAACUUCAAAUGGCUCCUACUAGCCAAAGUAGUAAAAAUUUGAGCAUCAAUAAGACAUAAUAACUGAAAUGGACUGAAACACAUCAGAUAUGUUGAUACCCACGUGUUCAUAUUGAUACUAUAAAGAAAUCAUUGUUCACCUUUGGAACCAAUUCACUAUUCCAAAAACAAGUAAAUAAAGGGGAAAUAUCAACACCCAACAUGCCUUUGCUGUACAAACUGUACCACAGGACAACCAAAUAGUUGAGGAGGAAAAGCUUCUCCUUAAAGUAUUCCAGAUAAUAAAAGAAUAAAAUUGAUAGCAUUAAAGUAUCACCAUUGUACACCUAAUAAAGUAAUGAAGCUAAGCAAUAAUCAUCCAUGACUGCUUACAUCAAAAAAGGAGCACACACCACACCCUCCGAAGUAAUCUUGCCAAAAAACUGAAGACUCUAGAUCUAACUACCAGUUGACUGAAAUACAGGGCACAGAAACCUAUGUUAAAAGACACUAGAGGAAGACAAUCAGCAAAAUUUAGCCUGGAGGAAACACUAUAAAACAAUUCAAUUUCUUUAACAAAUAAAUUGCAGCGAAGAAAAAAGAGGAUGAGGCAUCUAUAGAGAUUUAAAAGACAUUACAACCAAAUGCAAUAUCUGGACAUUGAAAUUCUGAUUCAAACCAACUUUUAAAAAAAUACCAAGACAAUCGAAGAAAUUUGAACAUUGAUUGGAUAUCAUUUUAUAAUAUUAAAGAACUAUUCAUUUUUAAGGUGUUUAAUAGUAUUGUGGCUAUAAUUUUUCAAAAGUCCUUAUCUUUUAGAGAGAUAUACUGAAAUAUGUACAGAAGAAAUCUGGGAUUAGCUUGAAAAAGAGGAGGAGUAGCUGAGGUAUAGAUAAAACAAGAUUAGGAAUGAGGUGAUAAUUAUUGAAUCUGGAUGAUGGGUACAUGGGGAUUUGAUUUACUCUUUCUCUGCUUGUUUGAAUUUCCUGCAACAAAAGAUAAAAAAAAGAAUCUUAGAUGAAAAAAGUGGGAGAUUUUCUGAUGAUAAGCAAUAGUUAUAUGAGGGAAUUGUUCCAGGGUUUUAAGGAACAUGAUUGAAUAUUCACUGAGUCAGUAGCCAUAUGCAAAAUUGGCUUGGGGUUGAAAGAUGCCAAGAUUGGCUUGGGGUUAGUUUAAAAAAAUUGCUAUAAUCAGGCUAGAUGAUCAUCACGAAAUAGGCUGAGCAUUUCAUUUAAGGAGCAAAUAGUCAGAUGAAAGAGAUUAUCUGCAAGGAAAAUAAAAGUUGAACAACAAUCUAGUUGAAGCUAAAAAGCUGUUAAACCAGUGUAAUCCAGAAAAGUAUAUUCACUGUGCAAUUUGUCUGUAGUACAAUAGUCAGGCAGCAAUAUCAAGAUUUUCUUAGAUUUCUUUGUGGAAUGUAACAUGAGGUGCAGAAGUCAGGAAAGACCAUACACUUUGUCCAAUGUGCAAUAUCCACAGUGUGGUUUGACGACUUGAGGCUCUCUCCAUACACCCAACAGUGACUAAGCAGAAAUCACAUAAAUUUAUGGAGAGGUGAUGGUAGUUUCUGCCUCACUCGGGGAUGGGAGUAGGGGGUAGUAGCCCGUGGGAUAGGGUGGAGGAUGGGCAUUCUGGUCUCUACGGUGUUUCUAAUUCUCCAUUAAAACAGAAAUCUAUUGAUAAAACUCAUGAAAGGAGUUACUCUGGUUUUAUGUAUCUUAAAAUAAAUGCCCAGGGUAUCUAUUGUACAAAAUGACAUUUUGCCAAUUUUAAGAAUGCCUGUAUUUAUCCAUUCAGCUUUUAUUAUAUUUGAAUAUACUAAAAUGUUCCUCGUAAUAUUUGAUCAGUGUUCAAAAUGUUAUGUCCCAUUGA